rnacentral:rRNA from 1 species
GAGUUUGAUUAUGGCUCACAACGAACGCUGGCGGCAGGCUUAACACAUGCAAGUCGAGCGGACCUUCGGGUUAGCGGCGGACGGGUGAGUAACGCGUGGGAAUGUGCCUCUGGGUACGGAACAACCGCUGGAAACGGCGGCUAAUACCGUAUGACGUCUUCGGACCAAAGAUUUAUCGCCCAGAGAUCGGCCCGCGUUGGAUUAGGUAGUUAGUGGGGUAACGGCCCACCAAGCCGACGAUCCAUAGCUGGUUUGAGAGGAUGAUCAGCCACACUGGGACUGAGACACGGCCCAGACUCCUACGGGAGGCAGCAGUGGGGAAUCUUGGACAAUGGGGGCAGCCCUGAUCCAGCCAUGCCGCGUGAGCGAUGACGGCCUUAGGGUUGUAAAGCUCUUUCACCGGUGACGAUAAUGACGGUAGCCGGAGAAGAAGCCCCGGCUAACUCCGUGCCAGCAGCCGCGGUAAUACGGAGGGGGCUAGCGUUGCUCGGAAUUACUGGGCGUAAGCGCGCGUAGGCGGACUUUUAAGUCGGGGGUGAAAUCCCGGGGCUCAACCCUGGGAACUGCCUUCGAUACUGGAAGUCUUGAGGUCGAGAGAGGCGAGUGGAAUACCGAGUGUAGAGGUGAAAUUCGUAGAUAU